GGAGCGGACGCAGUGAUUUGCUCCCCUACCCUCGGCACCCCCCACACCCAGCACCAGGAGCCUGUUCCUCCCACAUCCUCACCUGGCUGAGCCGCAGUAGUUCUUCAGUGGCAAGCUUUAUGUCCUGACCCAGCUAAAGCUGCCAGUUGAAGAACUGUUGCCCUCUGCCCCUGGCUUCAAGGAGGAGGAAGAAGAAGAGGAAAAGGAGCUGCUUUUCCCAUUAUCUGGAAGUGUCUCACUCCAGCCUUGACUACAUGGCUGUGCCAUCUUCAACCAUCAUGGGGCAGAGGUGAGGAAGGGCAGCCCAGAACACAGAGGCAGGCAAAAGACCAGUGAAGGACCAGGCCUGGAGAGCACAGGGCUCUCUCUGGGAAUCUAGCAGAGGGGCCCACGAAGGCCAGGAGCACCCCAGGAAGAGGGAGAACAGCCAGUCUUCAUUAAGGACAAGCUUCCAGCCAUCUCCUACUUCACUCACCAUUUCUCUCCAGUGUCCUGCCUCCCUCAGAGAUAUGGGACAAUAGUGAAGUGUCCUGUGGCUUCUACCCUCCUACUUCUACUUCUUCCCCACCCUGUAAUUUUUGCAAGAGCCAGCUGUGAAAGGACAUACACAGGAAAUUCAUAAAAGAAAUUUAGAUGGACAAAACUGAAAAAAAAUGUAUGCUUCACUAGUGAAUAAGGGCAAAUAUAGCUGAAAGUAUUUUUCCCUUAGCAAACUGUAACAAAAACAUAUGACCCGAUAUUGGCAAAAGAGUACUGAAAGAACACUCCCAUACAUUGCAUAUAGGUGUAUAAAUGGGUACAGAACUUCCUGGAUGGCAUUUGACAAUAUGUCAAACAUCCUAAAAGUUUCUAUGUCCUUUGACUUAGUAAUCCUACUUUGGGGAAUUUAUCCUAAGAAAAUAAUUAAGGAUUGAGUUAUAAGAUGUUCACACCAGCAUUUCAAUACAGAAAAAUGGGAAGCAACUGUCUGAUUGGGAAUUCAUUCCUUUUCUGCUGUAAUGAAAAUUUGCAAUAGGGGAUUGCUUAAGUAAAUUAUUGUAUAUCCAUCCAGAUGGUGGAGUACUGUGCAACCAUUAAAAGUCAUGUAGAAGAACAUUUGACUGGAAAGAAAAAUGCUCUUUGAAUAUUAAGAAGGUUAUAAAAAUAGUGUGUAUUAUGUGAUCUCAAUUUUAAAUUUAAAAAUGUUUUUUUUUAAUGUGGUUAUAUACUUGUAUACGUAGAAUGAUAAAAAAAAACUGAAGACAUACUCAAAAAUGUUAAUAGUGGUUAUCUUUGGAUAGUGGAAUAAAGUAAUUGUAAUUUUC